GAACAAUUCCUACUGACCAGGAUUGAUCAAGAGAGGUUUUCUCACAUAUGCAGUCUGCAGGAAUCUUCCUCAAUAAGAACUCAGGAGGAGCACGACUGGCUUGGAAAAAGAAACUCAGGACAUCUUCCCUUCCCCCACAUCCCCACCUCCUGGGAAUAGAUGCAGAUCUGCUGCGACAGGGACUGAAGCAGCAGCCACAGAUCCUGCACUUUUCAUGUGCAACGCGGUGAAGUCACAGGGACUGGCUGCUGUGGCUCCUGGGAGAGAGGCUGAGUCAUGAUCUGUGCUACCUCUGCACCCAGGGAGUGCGGAGGAUGCUUCUGAGGAUGCAGAUGAUGCGCUGCUUUCCUGUGGCUGGAGUUCAAGGUGUGCUGGUGGUUUGUCCAGAGCUGAAGUGAAUCAUACCCUUUUAGAAUGAAAUGGAAAAUGAGGUAACAGCCACGAUUGCAGCUAUGAAAGUAACAGUGCUAUAAAUCAGCAAUCCUAGGGCAUGAUGACAUUCUCGGAACUAGCAUCCAGUUAUAUGUAUUUUCGGGAAAGAAAAAUCAAGACAUUCUUCAACAGAGGGCAAAAGGCAGAUUCUGGAUCCAGUGGGUCACCAAGAGCUUGGAUCUUCCAGUGCUGGCAUGCGGUUCUGAGGUCCUCCCUUGUGUCUUGUGGAUGGCGUGGUGAGCACAGCAAACAAAGGCUGAACAUCCCACCUGUGUGGCAGAAUUUCUGAAGAAGUACGUCGCGGAUGAAGGCACGCACAGAUGGUGCAGGCUGCAGCACAGUCCUGUUGGCUGUACGUUGUCCAGGCAGUGUUGCUCUUGAGAACAGAUCAGCCCAGGCCUUCUGACCAUGUGUGCUGCUGGGCACUGCCAGGAGGAUGCACUGCUGGCUUCAUUGGGUUGCUCUCUCAGUGCCUGGGCUAAGCAGGAACAGUAGGCAGUGCAGAGUUGGGACUUUUGGCAGUGCAUGAUGAGACUAUAUGCUGCAGCUGAGGCCACAGAACCUGUACCACAGAAUAGAGUUGCAGGAAGACUCCAUAACUUCCCUGUCAAGACAUGCUCAGUGCAGGAAGAUCCAAGAACACCAUUAUCAUGAAAAGGUUUUUCUGAGCCGUAAUUGCUUCUGGUAGCCCAUGUAGACAAAUACUGAAUACAACCAAUACUUUUCCAUGAAGAAGCACCCCCCACUGAACCAUAGCACAGACAGCAUCGUGCAGGACUACACCACUAUGGUGGUUAUGUAAUCUUUGCUUGAAUCCAAACUGUCUUCAUCGACUUUAAAAUGUGUCUGCAAUCUCUCUUUACCAGCAUAUGGCUCUCGGCAGGUGUUUUGCCUGAAGAGUUAUACAGCAGUGAGCUGUCUGAGGGUAAUCAAGCCAAAGCUCAUCAUAUGGUUUCAGUAGAAAUCUGUUCCUGAUAGUUUAAAUAUUUUCCAGCUUUAAUUAAUUAAGUUGAACUGCCUUUACUCACCCCUAUUUAACAUACCCCCGUUAUAAUUUAAUUGCAGAUUUACUUUCUUUCCAUGACCACUAAAUAGCAGUUGGUUUUAUGAGCCUUGUUUUAAUCCCACACUGAUGAAAGUCCAUUAGACAAUAAAAUCUGACUUCAUUUCAGACGUCUUCUGGUCACUGCAUUUUAUUUCACGUCAGUGGUCACAAAGCAGAGAGCUGAUCCUGCAACAAGGAGAAAAUCCGAUACCAAAUUAAUACACAAGAGCUUUGUACAGUGUAAGCUGUUGGCUCCAAGAGAUGAGUUUUGUCAGCGUGGCAUUUGCAGUUGGUAGUAGAUUUGUUACAUACACCACCGCUCUCAGGAAAUAAAUCAAAAGCACGGCAUGAAUAUUAUUACUUCUAUCUUUAUCUUGUGGCUAGAAGAAAUGAGCUUCCUGUCACUUUUAUUGGUAUCCCUAUUUAAUUAGGUGGUAUGGAUGGUAAGGGUGGAAACAACAUUUACAUGCUAAUUGUUUUUAAAUGCUUUUUCAUUCCCUUCUGUAAAUUAAUUUUCAAGAUAGAAGGGGAAAAGUGCAUUUUAUACCUGGACAGUAACAACACCAUGGGCUGUAUGGUAUGGUAUGCAUUAAAGCUGCCUCUGUGCUGUCACCCUCCACACACUGUGCUGAGAUGCAGAGUGAGUUGGCUCCGAGCA
ensembl:lncRNA